CCUACGGGUGGCAGCAGUGAGGAAUAUUGGUCAAUGGCCGGAAGGCUGAACCAGCCAAGCCGCGUGAAGGACGAAGGUGCCAAGCAUUGUAAACUUCUUUUGUCAAGGGACAAAAUCAGGCUCGAGAGCCUGACCGAGGGUACUUGAAGAAAAAGCAUCGGCUAACUCCGUGCCAGCAGCCGCGGUAAUACGGAGGAUGCGAGCGUUAUCCGGAUUUAUUGGGUGUAAAGGGUGCGUAGGCGGGCUGUUAAGUCAGCGGUAAAAGCCCGGGGCUCAACCCCGGCGAGCCAUUGAAACUGGCUGUAGUGAGAGGUCGAGGGGUAGGCGGAAUGCGCAGUGUAGCGGUGAAAUGCUGAGAUAUGGCGCAGGACUCCGAUUGCGAAGGCAGCAGACCGGCGGCGAUCGGAAGCUGAGGCACGAAAGCGUGGGUAGCGAACAGGAUUAGAUACCCGGGUAGUUC
rnacentral:rRNA from 1 species